rnacentral:rRNA from 1 species
UGGGGAAUUUUGCACAAUGGGGGAAACCCUGAUGCAGCGACGCCGCGUGAUUUAGAAGGCCUUCGGGUUGUAAAAAUCUUUUUUAUGGGAUGAAAAUGACAGUACCAUAAGAAUAAGGUCCGGCUAAAUACGUGCCAGCAGCCGCGGUAAUACGUAUGGACCGAGCGUUGUCCGGAAUCAUUGGGCGUAAAGGGUACGUAGGCGGCCCAGUAAGUUAGAAGUGAAAUAAUAUAGCUCAACUAUAUAAAGCUUUUAAAACUGCUAGGCUUGAGAGAUGGAAGGGAAAGUGGAAUUCCUAGUGUAGCGAUGAAAUGCGCAGAUAUUAGGAAGAAUACCGGUGGCGAAGGCGACUUUCUGGUCAUCAUCUGACGCUGAGGUACGAAAGCGUGGGGAGCAAACAGG